rnacentral:lncRNA from 1 species
AACUUGUAAAACCCUAGGCACCUCAUCCUCGACCCCAAUAAAAGCAGAACCCUGGGCUGCCUGCUUCCUUUCUCUGCCUGUAGUCCUGCUGUGUAGCUGCAGGUGUGCCACAUACCCUUCAGGACUUGUGAGUAAAAAAAUCUCUUUUUUUUUUUCUGAAGUUCUCUGCUGGUUUCGUUGCUGAGGUGUGUUUUGCAAUCAAAAUAAGAAGCACAAGGGCCUGUUGAGCCACAACAUUGGCUACAAAAAGAGAAAUGUUUGUGGGGGGCUUGCAUUAGACCCAUGUAAGUGGCCCCAUGUUUCUAGCCAAUGGCAUUGCUGUAGAAAGUCUAAGACCUUGGCACCAAACGGUAUCCAGUUUAGAAAGUGGAAAACAUGGGGAAAAGAAGGCAGAGUAUAAACGGAGUGAUGUCUUUCAUUUCUAUUGCUGCUACUAAGCCAGGUUCCUUUGCCCAACAUGCAGCAAGCCAAAGGCUGAGAUGCUAAAAUUGGCAGCAGAGAAAAGGUUUAUUCAUUAGGCAGUCAAGCCAGGGGAUGGGAAAAUAAUAUCUCAUCUGCCUCCAUGAAGAUAAGGUUGAGAGAUACUUAUGGGAUAAAGAGGCAUGGGGAAAGGUCAUUGGAGGUAAGAAAAUUGAGGUAAUUGGUGUUCUGCUCAGCUGCAACAACACUACAAGCUUCUUUGUGGGAUGCAUGUUGAGAAAAUAGUGGAGUUAGCAACUUGUUACGAAAAGUGGGCCCAACUGCUCGCUGCUCUAAAGCUAAUAAAGACACAGGAUUGGUAGAAAAACGUUUGCUUUAUUUUGGACGUCAGCAAACAAGGCAGGGGGAGGGAACCUGUAUCAAAAGGCAGAAUUCCCCCUACUGACAACCAGUGGGCAAGAUCUUUUAAAGGAGAGUUUCAGGGGUGUAUAGGUGGAGGGAGGGGGCUACGAGCAAAGCAGCACAGUCAGCUCUGAUAGUCAGCUUGAAUGCUCAUACAGUGGUCUGAUCAGUGUUUCUGAAUGGUGGCAGCUUGUGUUAUGUCAUGGUUAUAGUCUGCUCAUCCUGGAGUUAACUUCUGCCUGGUGGAGGUUUCAGUUUCUACAAGACAGGUCACAGGAUGUGGCUCAGAAUAUUAUCUAUAGCCGUUGAGAAGGAACCAAAUGUCUUUGACUUAAGGACUAAAUUGUAAUUGUUUUGUUCUGUUUGUUUUCCUUUGCUUCUGCAUUUUCUCAUUUCUCUGAUUAAAUUUAUUCUUUUGCUAAAGCUUCUCUACAGACAAAAGGCAGAUAGAAGACAUUGUGGGGGGAAGGACCAUAGAGUUGUGUUCUGUUUCAUUCUGAGGGUGGAGUUUUUGGUUCUGUGAUGUCAAAAAUUCGCCGAAUGAACACUCUCAUUCCCAGCUGGAGGGUCGGUGGUCCCGACCAAUCUUAACUGGCUGAAGCUUGAAUUGGACAGACACUGACUCCAGCUUCCCAAAAAAUAACUCCCGCAAACACCUUAUGACUUCUAAGUUAGAGAUACUUAUCUAUAGGGGUAGUGGAAGGGUUUUGUAACUAUUGUUGAGGCUAUAGGAUGCUUGAAGGGUAUGCAAGUUUCAUAAAAACAAUUAAAAUGAGCUUGAUCAGUGAAAGCAGGUUACAGUUUAUUAUUUAUUAAGCAUAUUAUAGGUUAAUGGAUCUAACUGAUGGUUACGCUUGGUUUCAUUGCUGCCGUAACAAAUUAGCACAGAUUUAGUGGCUUAAAAAUGAUGCCCAUUUAUCACCUCAUAAUUGUGUACGGCAGAAUGCUGGGUGCAGCAUCACUUAGCUAAGUACUCUGCUUAGAGUCUGCAAGCCAUUUGUAAGGUAUUAGAGCUGUGGUCCUUUCUGGAGGCUCUGGGCAUCCACAUCCAGUCUCGUUCAGGCUGUCGGCCAGAUUCAACACAUUGCAGUUGUAGGACUGAGGUCCCUAUUUCCUUGCUGGCUGUUAGCCUGGAAUUAAUCUGAUCUUAGGGGCUGCCUGUGUUCCUUGCAUACUUUCCACGUGGCCUCCCUUCCUGGCAGUGGCUUAGUCUAUGGGUGGGGUCUCUGUCUCCUGCUUUCUUUUUUCUUCUCCUUCAUCUUCCAUUAUAUCUGACUCUUUUCCUUUCCCAUUCUGCUUCUAAGGGCUCAUGUGAUUACAUUGUACUCAUCCAUAUAAUCAAGAAUAAUCUCUCUAUUUGACAAUCAUCUGAGUAGUAAUUUUAAUUCCAUCUUCAAAGUCUUUUCACAGCAGUACAUAGAUUAGUGUUUGACUUAAUAACCAGAGAAUAGAAAUUGAAGGUGGGAAGUAGGGGGACUUUAGAAUUCUACCCACCACAGGUGAUACAAUAGAAAAUUAAUCCUAUUUGAAUAAAAGGAAGGAAACAGUUGAGUAGAGAGAGAUGAACUUGAACCAAUAGAUUGGGGCUUGAAAUUGUAAAGUUUUAUAUGCCAGGACAAAGGCCAUAGGGAGUAAGGAAAAGUUUCUUGUGCAGAGCAGUCAUGAAAUGAGAAUUAUACAUUAGGAUAAGUGAUUGCAGAACAUGGGCAGUGCAUUUUGUUUAGAAGAAGUUGCAGAAAAGAGUAAUCUCAGUUUACACAUUAUUGCAAUUGUGCAUGGUCAUUUCAACAAGAUUUAAUUUUGGUUUGAGUAGUAAAUGUAGCAAGAGGGACAGAUAUGAAUGCCUACCAGGGUCAAAUCUAAGACUGUCCCCUGAGUAAUUAGAGUGGAAAUGAAGGGAGGAGGAUAGAGUCGGGGAUAACUGUGGCAUCAGUGAUGAGAAAGAAGGUGGUGCUAUUAAUUGAAAAAGGGAAUAAAAGACAUGAGAAGAAGGUUAAGGUUCAUUUGGAUAGUUUCUGAGAGGAGUUUCCCAACAAGUAGUUGGAAAUAGGGUCAUGUGGGCUAGAGAGAGUAUUCCAGCAGCUCUCUGAAAAGAGAUGAGUGCCCAAGUUUGGGGGCACUUAUAAGACCAACGAGAAAGAUUUAGGAGGAGAUAUGGAGGGAGAAAAAUGAGAGCUUGAGAACAAAACAUAGAAGAAUGUCUAUCUUGUGAAUAGGAAUAAGAAAGAUGUUCAGUGAAGGUCACUGAGAAGGCUUCGUGGAAGUCAUGGAAGUGAUGGAAGGAAAUUUAAGUGACAUGAAAGGUGAAUGUGAGAGAAUUUCAGGAAGGAGGUGAUAGAUAAUGAUGUAAACUGAAAAAAAAGGUGGCUUUACUCUUAACUCUGGAAAAUAUUAGGAGUUUACCCAAAACCAGUUUGUUCUAAGAAAUGGAAAAAAGAUCUCAUGUGCAUUAUUGCAGAAUGUACAUAUAGCUGUGUUUUCAACUGUGCCCUUUGUUUGCAGAAAGCUACUAAAUAUUGCCCAUGAAGAGUCCCUAAUAAGGAAACAUCUCUUGGCUUCAAAAAUAUCUAGAUAACUCAUGAAAUGAUGGGGAAACAAAAUUAGGUUCAUUUUUCCUUGGAUUUUUAGGGGACAGAGAUACACCUGAAAACGUUGUUUCAGCUGCCAGAGAGAACCAGUGAUCUCUUUCCAAAAAGGACAUUUUCAAAAUAGAGUGGCAUGUUUUUGGCAGGUCACAGGUUUGUGUUUGUCAAAUAUUUCUGAUGUAAAGAGAAGAAAAAAACAAAGUGAUUCUUAAUUGGUUACCACUUGCCGAGAAAGCACACAAGUCCUCCAAGUUGUACAAAGCUCUCAAGUACUGCCUAUCCACCCUCAAAUAUAUUCCUCAACAAAAAUUGAAAUUGAAGAACUGUGGCUUUUGAAUAUAAUGGGGAAAAAUAGCCAGUUUCUUAUUUGUGCUAAAUUUGGAAAUACGUUUUUUGUAUAAGAAUUGUUUGAGCUAUCUAGUGGUGUUUUUGUUUUUCACUGGAGUUUGCCAUCAAAUGUGAAUUCUGUGCUAUUUCGUAAAAGCACAGUCCCCAAUUUUACUCUCGACUUCAGCAGACACACAGACAUGGCCAGUUGCCUGCCCAAUAGAUUCUGUGCUUUUGUUUAGGUAAUCCACUCUUAAGCAUGGCCCUGUAUCUCAGUCGCCCAUCCCUAGGAAUCCCAUUCUUCUUUUCUUGUAAGUGGUUUGGGAGUAGGUAUAAGAUAGAAUUCUGGCCAAAGACAGGCAAGGAGAAGUCUUCUGGGAACAUUGCUGGGAGAACUUGUUCUACUUGUAAUAAGGUAUGUAAGAAAGAAUAUGUUCCUCUCCUUCUGUUGGAAAUUUUUAUGUCUGAAAAUUAUCUCUAGAAUUGUAGAAGCCAUUUGGUGACCCUCUGGGCAAAACCAGCAGACUGAAAAUGGUUAUGGGAAAAGAGGAAUGUACAUGUGUCCUUGACGUUGUUGACUGAUGAAUGGGCCAAGUUAAAGUUACCAUACCUUGGGAUUUCUUCAGAGUUAUUUUCCCUAAUAUAAGGACAUUUUGAGUUGGAUUUUUGACUUAUCAAAAAUGUAUUAACUGAUCAUCUGCCAUCCCACUUUCUCUAGGAAGUCUGGAGGGUGUGAUUCAUGAGUCGGAGGAUGAAAUAGGCAAAGUCUGAAAGUCUAGGCCAUGGGCCACUUUAGCACUGGUCCAGAGAAUACUAUUCAGCCUUUGCAGAGAACUAAAAGCAGAGGGAAAAAGUCCCAAAACUUCUUGACAAACAGCUUCUCAGGUCCAAUUUGAAAAUGAGGAAUAUAGAGAAAAAUUCUUUGAAAACUGAAGUACAGUACGAUCACUAAUUGGUAUGAUUCAAAUCACAUAUCAGGGAUGGAGUUAAGCAGGAUCUUGUUUGUUGUCAUUGUUUCAAAGCAGGAUGUUGUGGGUAUGGAGUUCUCAGUAAAGAGGCCAGAGCUGGAUGAGUAUGCGAAAAGCAGAGCAGUGGAUAGCAAAACUUUAUGGACUUGUGUGGUUUCAACAUAUUCAUUGAACAAUGCUUUGACCAGAAACCAGAGAUCUUAGCCUGAGCUUCUCACAUGCUUAAUUGAGGUAAAAUAUACUUUGGCACACACUUAGACACAUUAUUAAUCCUUUUGAAGAUAGCUUUCACUUGAACAAGUGGUGUAAAUUAGAAAUUGUCACAAAGAAAUGUGCCAUUUUUUUGAUGCAAGCAGAAUCAGAUGAUUUGAUAUGAUUACUGGUUAAAAUAUAAUUGCAAAGCACCCGUACUUCUGAUAAAUGUUGAAGACUUCACUGAGGAGUCAAGAGAUUAUUCUUGGAUAUAAAGUCAGUAGAGAAUGCAUAUGUAAAGUGCUCUUACCAGAUUUAUGCUGAAACACCAUAAAAAGAAAACACACACUACAAAU